AUCGCUUCUCAGCUCUGAGCUAAGAUCAUGUGUAGUAUCUGUUCUUUGCAGUGUAAUCUCUGCAACGGUCCCUAAUUUGGGACCAACCAGGGCGGGUGCUGUGAGCUUGCUCAACCCCGUCCACGGGUCGGCCUCGUAUUGCAUUACCUCGAGGAUUGGCCCACUAAUG
rnacentral:snRNA from 1 species